rnacentral:tRNA from 1 species
CCCGUCGUAACUCAAUGGUAGAGUGCUUGGCUGUAGACCGAGUUGUUCCCGGUUCAAAUCCGGGCGACGGGA